AUUGAACGCUGGCGGCAGGCUUAACACAUGCAAGUCGAGCGGGGGAAGGUAGCUUGCUACCGGACCUAGCGGCGGACGGGUGAGUAAUGCUUAGGAAUCUGCCUAUUAGUGGGGGACAACAUCUCGAAAGGGAUGUUAAUACCGCAUACGUCCUACGGGAGAAAGCAGGGGAUCUUCGGACCUUGCGCUAAUAGAUGAGCCUAAGUCGGAUUAGCUAGUUGGUGGGGUAAAGGCCUACCAAGGCGACGAUCUGUAGCGGGUCUGAGAGGAUGAUCCGCCACACUGGGACUGAGACACGGCCCAGACUCCUACGGGAGGCAGCAGUGGGGAAUAUUGGACAAUGGGGGGAACCCUGAUCCAGCCAUGCCGCGUGUGUGAAGAAGGCCUUAUGGUUGUAAAGCACUUUAAGCGAGGAGGAGGCUACUCUAGUUAAUACCUAUGGAUAGUGGACGUUACUCGCAGAAUAAGCACCGGCUAACUCUGUGCCAGCCGCCGCUGUAA
rnacentral:rRNA from 1 species